UUUCCGUAGGUGAACCCGCGGAAGGAUCAUUACUGUGAACUUGCCCUUUGGGGUAGAUCUCCCACCCUAUGUUUACAUACUUUGUUGCUUUGGCAGGCCUGCCUUUUGGCUGCUGGCUUCGGCUAGUUAGUGUCUGCCAGAGAACCAACACUAUGAUUAAUUUAAUGUCAGAGUACUAUUCAAUAGUUAAAACUUUCAACAACGGAUCUCUUGGUUCUG
rnacentral:misc_RNA from 1 species